rnacentral:tRNA from 1 species
GGCUUCACAGCUCAGUUGGUUGAGCAUUGCACCGGUAUCGCGGAGGUCACGUGUUCAAAUCCCGUUGAAGCCC